AGUGAACGCUGGCGGUAGGCCUAACACAUGCAAGUCGAACGGCAGCACAGUAAUAGCUUGCUCUUACGGGUGGCGAGUGGCGGACGGGUGAGGAAUACAUCGGAAUCUACUUUUUCGUGUGGCAUAACGUAGGGAAACUUACUCUAAUACCGCAUACGACCUACGGGUGAAAGCAGUGGAUCUUCUGACCUUUCGCGAUUGAAUGAGCCGAUUUCGGAGUAGCUAGUUGGCGGGGUAAAGGCCCACCAAUGCGACGAUCGGUAGCUGGUCUGAGAGGAUGAUCAGCCACACUGGAAGUGAGACACGGCAUAGAGUCUUAGGGGAGGCAGAAGUGGGUAAUAGUGGCAAAUGGGGGGAAGACUGCUCCAGCCACACAGCGUGGGUGAAGAAGGCCUUCGGGUUGUAAAGCCGUUUUGGUGGGAAAGAAAAGCAGCAGGUUAAUCCAACGCUGUUUCGCCGGUAUCCAAAGAAUAAGCACCGGCUAACUUCGU
rnacentral:rRNA from 1 species